AUUGAACGCUGGCGGCAGGCCUAACACAUGCAAGUCGAGCGGAUGAAGAGAGCUUGCUCUCUGAUUUAGCGGCGGACGGGUGAGUAAUGCCUAGGAAUCUGCCUGGUAGUGGGGGAUAACGUUCCGAAAGGAACGCUAAUCCCGCAUACGUCCUACGGGCGAAAGCAGGGGAACUUCGGGCCUUGCGCUUUCAGAUGAGCAUAGGUCGGAUUAGCUGGCUGGGGAGGUAAUGGCUCACCAAGGCGACGAAGCGUAACUGGUCUGAGAGGAUGAUCAGUCACAUUGGAACUGAGACACGGUCCAGACUCCUACGGGAGGCAGCAGUGGGGAAUAUUGGACAAUGGGCGAAAGCCUGAUCCAGCCAUGCCGCGUGUGUGAAGAAGGUCUUCGGAUUGUAAAGCACUUUAAGUUGGGAGGAAGGGCAGUAAGUUAAUACCUUGCUGUUUUGACGUUACCGACAGAAUAAGCACCGGCUAACUUCGUGCCAGCCGCCGCAGUAAUAC
rnacentral:rRNA from 1 species